UGUCAAUUUGGCUGGAUGUCCUUUGGGUGGUGGACCAUUCUUGAUACACACGGGGUUAUGGAAAAGGGGUAUGUGGAGCAUCCCAGUGGUCAGCAGCUAAAGAGUCGUCAAGGAAAACAAACAACAAACUUGAUGAAGAGGGACUUGAAGUUGCCGUCUGCCUCCACGGAAUACUUCUAAGGAGCCUCAACAUGAUGCGUGGAGAGAUACUUGCGUACCCACUGUUCUUGCAGAAGGAAUUGUCUGGCAGCAGGAACAUACAAUGCAUGUGUACGGAUGUGAUCUGCAAAUUUUGGCCCUACCUGACCAAAGUUGCCCUUCAUUGUCCAGAGCUCGCCACUCUUCUAGACAUGAAGCCCCUUCUUUCUGUCAUGCAUACAAAGGCACAUCGUUUGAAAUGCCAGAUUAAGUGGGGAGGACGGAAUCAGGAAGGAGCUGGCACAACUCUGGGGGAGGAAGUGGAACAAGGCUUCUUGUCGAGGGCUGCAAUCUGUUCCAAGCAAAUGUCCAAAGGAGCAAGAACAGACAUGCUAACCAUCCAGGCCAUGGGGUGGAACAGAAGGAAGAACAACAACAUGCACAGAGUAUUGUCCAGAAGAUACUUGAAGACAACAGCAAAAAUCCAGGAGACCCAGACUCGAAAAGUUUAGGAGUGAUUUGGGUGUAGGCGAUGAGACUCUGUACAACUGGACAACGGAAGUUCAGCAAUGGGCUAAUACAGAGGAAACAAAUGAGAACAUGGAUGGUCAUCAGGUACUACAUAGAACAAUUGAAGUCCUGUUUCUUAGCAUCAAACAAAGGAAACAGAACCUCUACUGUCAGACAGAAGGAUACAAGAAAAGACACCCUCUGUGCAGAAAGAUAUUGGAAGAAAAGGACAAAUGGACAGCUGCCAUAGACGAGUACAACACCCUUGUACCAGAUUCAGCAAUACCAUCUGCAGAUGAGAUCCUUUCUGCAGACCUUCAUGCAUGGACAAACUGACCUACUCACAAAGAAAAUAGCCUUUGACCAGGUGAUGCUCCGGAGACGGCUGAAGGAGGAAGAGUUAAUUCUCCUUAAAGGAAGUCUAGCAGCACUGGGAAAGCCUAAAGAGGGAAUCGGAGAAUGUACAAGACCUUGCUUCACAUGUGGCACUUGACCUAAGCAGGCAAAGCUGGCAAUUGAAUCAGUCAGAAGCUGGGAGCAGAGGUCUCUUCUCCAUGCUUCAGAGGAGAGUCAGCAGCCUCAGAAGAUACCAGGACUCUGUCAAGCUGAUAUACAGCAAAGCUAUGGGCCAAGACACCUCCCUCGUAGAAAAUAACUUCAUAGAUGACCUCCUGGAAGAGGACCUAGAUGACAUCUAUGACAGCAUCCACUACAGCUCUGAUGACGAGGAAUCUAUCACAGACUGAAGGUGUUCGUUUGGGUGGGUGCAGUUUGCACUGGGUAAAAAGUGAUUCCAUUUGUUUUGCAUGUGUGUUUUAUCUGCCUUCGUAAACGCAAAUAUUAAACGCAAAUAUUUAAUAACAUAGUAAAAUGAAUCGGUACAAACAUAAAAGACAAAAAUACUCAACUUCUGACUACUUUAAUACACAUAAGUGAAUUUAUCACAAUACAUUUGGUCCCCCAAAAUGGGGGGGUUGUGUACAAAAUGUGCUGUAAUUGCUAAAGUUCACCAGAUAUGGAAGAAAAUACCCUCAAAUUAAAACUGAUAGUCUGCACUUCAGCAUCAUAGUAAGUGUAUCAUUUUAAAUCCAAAGUGCUGGAGUACAGAACCAAACAACAACAAAUGUGUCACAGUUGCAAUACGUUUGUAGCUCACGUUAUAUGAAGAAUAUCUAAAUGCACAUUGUCAUGAAACUGAUUGAGAUCAAAUGGUUGGCAUGCUGAUGCUCCAUGAAUGCUUCAAUCAUGGUGAAGUUGGCCAACCAUUUAUGAUUGACAGUGAUACAUGUGAGGGAGAGUGAGGAAUACAUUUGUGCAUAAAGUAGGUUAAACUGGAGAAAUGCGGUCCUCUGCCUUGAUCCAGUCAUCGUCCCAUUUCUUGCCACUGUAAGACAAGAAAGAAAAGAUAAGGAAUGUCAUGUUUUUAAGCAGAAAUAGAUCAUAAAUCAUUCAAUAUGUAAUUGUGAGCAAGUAAAGCGGCCAUUGUUUCUCCCGGUGUUACUGAAAAACCUACACACCAGGUUGAUAUAUUAUCAAAUAUAUAUUUUAAACCAUUUUCCACCAUAAUUUGCAAAUAAAUUCAUAAAAAA